CCUACGGGAGGCAGCAGUGGGGAAUAUUGGGCAAUGGGCGCAAGCCUGACCCAGCAACGCCGCGUGAAGGAAGAAGGCCUUCGGGUUGUAAACCUCUUUUCUGAGGGACGAAGAAAGUGACGGUUACCUAGGAAUAAGUCACGGCUAACUACGUGCCAGCAGCCGCGGUACUACGUAGGUGGCAAGCGUUAUCCGGAUUUAUUGGGUGUAAAGGGCGUGUAGGCGGGAAAGCAAGUCAGAUGUGAAAACUCAGGGCUCAACCCGCAGCCUGCAUUUGAAACUGUUUUACUUGAGUGCUGGAGAGGCGAGCGGAAUUCCAGGUGUAGCGGUGAAAUGCGUAGAUAUACGGAGGAACACCAGUGGCGAAGGCGGAUUGCUGGACAGUAACUGACGCUGAGGCGCGAAAGCGUGGGGAGCAAACAGGAUUAGAUACCCGGGUAGUC
rnacentral:rRNA from 1 species